AUGUGUAUCACCAAACUCAGCCCUCUUUGUAGUAUAUUUUUUUUGGUACCUGGGGUUGAACUCAGGACCUCGCACUUGCCAGGCAGGCACUGUGGCACUGAGCUACAUCCCUGGCUAUGCAGUUUUGUUUUGUUUUUGAGACUGGGUCUCACUGUGUAGUUCAGGCUGACCUUGAACUCAGUAUGGAGCCCAGGAUGGCCUCAAACUUGCAACAAUCCUCCUGCCUCAGGCUCAUCCUCUUAAGCGCUGGGAUUACAGGCGUGUGCCACCAUGCCCCACCUACCUUUGUGGUUUUAAUGGAGCAUUUCCUCAGCUGUGUGCUGUCUUUUAAUGAGCCAAUCAAAGGCAAUCUUCAUGUUACAAUGUUUUCAAUCUAGAGAUUUCUUUUUAUUUCUUGGAGUUUCUCACUCUAGAUUGUCCAUCUGUCACUACUUGCUGUCUAUUUUCGCCUGCAGCAUAUUAAUAAUUAUCGUUUUGACCUCCCUUCCUGAUAAUUCCAACAUCCUUGUCAUCAAUGGGUCUGGUUCGGGUGCUUGCUCUGUUUCUUCACACUGUGUUCUUUGCCUUUAGUAUGUCUUCUCGUGUUUUCUUGCUCGCCAGGCAUGAGGCACCAGCACACACAGACCUGCCGUACAGACCUCAGCAAUGCUUUUGUCAGGUGUUAGGGAGGGAGGCAACCUGCAGGCGAUGAUGACUUCCCCAGUCUGGCAGUGGCCUUGUGCCUUCGGGCUGUGAGCCCCACACUCCCAGCCUGGGGGUACAGGAUGAGGUCAGUGGGCUGGAGAUGGGUCUCCUCCUUGCCCUGUGGAAGGCUGGGAGGGGCUGGACCCAAGUAUUUUAUUUCCUCCACGUGGAAAGCUAGAACAAGCAGGGUUGGGUAUUUUCCUUUCCCUAGGUCAACUGGGCUCUGAUAAAACUCCAGCUGGUUCAGUUUUAGUUAAAUAAUGUCUCCCGAGGGCAGAACUUGUUAAGAAGAAUGGAAUGCCCGAGUGUAUUUCAAGAUGGUUCCUUUCCCCAUCUCUCUGCCAGAAGCACAAUAGGGUUUUUCUCUAGUAGUCAUCGUGAGAACCUACAAGAACUCCAGGAGGUAAAACUCACAAAGUGCGGAGCCCCUGUGACUGGGCUCCCCUUGAACUUUAAUUUCACAGUUUGCCCACCCCGAGCCUGCAGUGUCUUGUCCAUUGCAGUUUCCUUACUCUGCCAGCGGAGAAAGAAAGAGAAGAUCCAAAGCAUGAAUAGUGGAAACCCUUCAGGCAAUGUACUCGUCUGGACAAAGGUCAUGGCUGGCUAUGAGCACCUGAAACUGUGGAAGGUGAAACUGCUGAUGGGGGAAAUACUGUACACUUAAAAAGAAAGACAGCGACACUUCUCCCGGGAUGAGGGAGCCUUCGAGAAGAAGACACAAGGCUGGAACUGCCCCUCAUGCUCUGCUGCCCCCUCCACGCAUGUCACAGCACAGGGGACACAGAGGCCCCUGGACAGAACCUGGCAGCAACUUCCUCCUAACCACUGCCCUUCACCUUUCUCAAGAGAAUAAAAGGGAGAAGCACAGUAGCUCUAAGUAAAGUGCUGACGGAAAAGCUUACAACUUAUAUCUGCCAACAGACGUUACCUUCUAACUUUAUUGUGCUUUUCUGAUGUCCCACAAGACAAAGUUUCGAGACAACUGAUUUUUUAACUCUUUGAAGUGCUGAAACUUGCUUUUCAAAAAUGAGUCUGCUGUAGUAGAAAAUAUUUCUAAGGCAAAUUAAGCCCAUUCUUGUCUUCAUCUAUUGAAGACUACCUACACCCUAACCUUCGCCUCCUCCUCGCUGCUGCUCACCGCUGAUUUGCUCUGAGGUAACCAGGUAUUCACGUCAAUGGUUUUGUUUUCUUGUCUUAGGAAAGGAUUUGAGCAGAGUCAUGAAGACAAAUCAGACUUCAACAGGCGGGGGGCAGGGGGACGAAAGCCAAGGGGAGGCCACACAGGGCAGUAGAUCUCACAUCAGAUUUAAUGGCAAUAAAUUGUUGACCAGUUUCAUUACCUCAUGCUAUCAGAGUCUCUGUUUCAGCUUGGUUAGCUAAUACACCAAGGAGCUAUAAAUAAUGUUCCAGAAAAAUGACACAUUUUAAAAUAAUAAUUACAUUUCCUGUCUUAUUCAAUAUUUCUACUGUAUUAAAAUGAAAAAGCUUGUCCUAUUAGUGUGGUUUUUCACUUCAUUUCUGAUCCUGUUUUUUUCUUUUUUUGCUGUGCUUUAGCUUUAUUAUUUUGUUUCUUUUGUAAGUUCUGUAAUAUGCAACUUCAGAGCCUUUUAUUUCAGACUAAAUAAGUCACAUCUAUUCAGUCCCACUUC
rnacentral:lncRNA from 1 species